CUUACCAUGCAAGUCGAACGGAAAGGCCGAAGCUUGCUUCGGUACUCGAGUGGCGAACGGGUGAGUAACACGUGGGUGAUCUGCCCUGUACUUCGGGAUAAGCUUGGGAAACUGGGUCUAAUACCGGAUAUGACGAUCUCUUGGAUGUUGUUGUGGAAAGCUUUUGCGGUAUGGGAUGAGCUCGCGGCCUAUCAGCUUGUUGGUGGGGUAAUGGCCUACCAAGGCGUCGACGGGUAGCCGGCCUGAGAGGGUGUACGGCCACAUUGGGACUGAGAUACGGCCCAGACUCCUACGGGAGGCAGCAGUGGGGAAUAUUGCACAAUGGGCGCAAGCCUGAUGCAGCGACGCCGCGUGGGGGAUGACGGCCUUCGGGUUGUAAACUCCUUUCGCAAUCGACGAAGCCUUUGGGUGAACGGUAGGUUAAAAAAAACCACGGGCUACUUCCUGGCCACCACCCCCGGAAUUCCUUAGGUGGCAACCGUGGCCCGGAUUUCCGGGCCGUAAAAACUUCGAAGGGGUUUGGCCCCUCCUUUGGGGAAUUCCGCCACUUUACUGGCGGGGUUGCAGGCAAUCCGGCCUUACUUUGAUGGUGGUAGGGAAAAUGGAAUUCCCGGGGGAACCGUGGAAUGGCCCAAAUUUCAGAAGAAACCCCAAUGGCAAAGGCAGGCCCCUGGCCGUAACCGGACGUGAAGAACCAAAACCUUGGGAACCAAACAGAAUAAAUUCCCUGGGAAUCCCUGGCCGAAACCGUGGGCCGUUAGUGGUAAUUCCUUUC
rnacentral:rRNA from 1 species